UUGAGUGUGUGUGGUGUAGAUUUUAACUGA
rnacentral:piRNA from 1 species